UAGUCUUUCCUAAGAUUGUAAUCACUUGCUUUAGUUUUAUUCUUCCUUUGAGGUACUAUCUAUAUAAUUUUGUGCUCAAGAAAUCUAUUUUACUUGUGUUUGGUUUUCAGAAUUUUGUUACAGACACCCAUCCAAUUUACUUUAAUUUCUAUCUUACCUUUGUUCCAUUCCCCCUCUCUUUUUCUCAAAUUUUCUCAGCUUUUUAUUCCUUUGUUGUUCCAUGUCCGCCUCGGGAUGUCUUCUGUGGUUACGCUUCUUGAAAUUGGUAUUUUGAGAACGGAACUUUUCUUCUAGAGAUGGACCAAAUAAUUGAAUGGUCUACUACUGUGCAUCCGAUUUCUAGGAGUUCAAUGGGAAGAAACAGGCGAAGACUUCAACAUAGGAUCUACUUGAUCUUUGGGUGGUGGCUCAAAUCAAAUUUUUGUGAUUAUUUUGGUGUUCACUAGUAAGAUAGCAAAUGAGAGGCGGAGAGCUCUUUCUGUUCUACUAUUUUUUUUGCUUCUUCUCUCUCACCAUUGAUCUCUUUCGCCCUCCACUGCUUGGUUUGCAUUUGCAAUUUCUUCAUUCUGUCGAGGUUUCUCUUUUGUCUCUUUCUUUAUUGCUACAUUUUGUUGCUUAUGGGAGUUUGAUGGUCAUUUGUUAGCAGUCCCCUUCUUUUGGGUAUUUUUGUUGCUUAAUUCUGUCUAAGUAGUGUAAAUGCAUGUGUAUCUUUGUGCCUCAUUUUCACAUGGAUGUCAUUAUUUAGCCGAAAUGGUAAGAAUAUGGUAGUAAAUCCUUACAUGUUACUAUUAUUUUGCUGAAAUUGGUAAGAGUCUGAUAGUAAUCCUUGCUUGUUUAUAUACAUCCAACUGGCUUUUUCAUUUGUAGUCAAUUUGCUGAAUUUUAACUACUCGGCCCAUUAACCUUUCUCUAUAAACCUUACUCGUAAAUUUUGCUUUGGCAGGUUAUCUUCUUAGUCUCAUUCUCCAAGUACUCCUUUUACGAAGUUGUUGCAAGGGUUCAUCAAAGGAAGCAACAGAGCAAAUAUCUAAUGAGCUGCAACCACAGCACAAAACAAGAAAAAAGAAGAUAAGAAAGAAGAUGAAAUUAGUGGCCAGGCCAAAUCAGUUUAACAUGUAAUUCACAAUUGAUAGAGCUGGAGAGACAAGAACAACUUGCAGGUAAGAUGGCUGCGACUGCUCCUAUCAAUUCUACUGGAUAGUUCACUUCAACCCCAACCCUCUUGUGAUGAAGUUGCCGUACUAAAAGAGAUCGUAGGUCAUAGGUCGUGAGAAGAAAAUUAGAAGGGAAAAUUAUGAUGCGAGUGAAGCAUCAACCAGAUCAUAAUAGCCAACCUACAAAUUAGGAGAUAUAUUUUGUAAGCCAAGCUAAACAAGGUGCUGAACAGAUAAGAAGAUAUAGAAAGAUGGAAAUAGUGGUAUACAGAGUAUCUACAAGAGAUUUUACUCAUAGACUAAGAACACACUAACAAUGCAAGGAAGAACAUGAGAUUGCGAAUAUACCUUAAGCAACAAUUUUGAUCAGGUAACGAGUAAUGCAGAUCUUAAUGGAAUUAAUGGAGUAGCAUAUAUUCCUACUAAUGUGCUUGAACCCAAAUUCUCUUGACUCUCUUUUUCAGUUUUCAAACAAACAAUGAAUAAGAUGAUCAAUAAGAAUGUUAUAUCAAUUAUCAACCCAUAAGUAAUAUUUAAUAAUGCAACAUGAUGUUUAAUAGAUUGUUGGCACAUAUAAUAUGUUGAAAAGUACUGUUGUAAGAGUUAUAUAUUUUAUGUUACUACAGAUAUAGUUUACAUCUUUUUGUGUGGGAAGAAGCGGAUCUAUUAGUAGAUUACCAGAAAAUAAAGGAGGAUGGAGGCUAACUACUAAGCUGGGACUUUAGCUUUUGCACAUGGGAUUAAGAAAAGGGCUGGCAGGGAAAAAGAACCAGUUGAAUACUGCAUACUACUAAGUUGUUGGAAGUGCUAGAAUGAUGAAGAGAGAGCCAGGAGAAAGAACCAACGGAAUACGAUAAGAUGUUUUGAAGAGUAGAACAUGAAAAUGAGGCCGAAUCAAUUCUUAGAGAUGUUAAAAAUAUUACAAGAUUAGUCAGGGUUAUACUUUUCUCGGAUGUACUUAUGUACUCUUUGUUGUUAUUGCACUUUACAACA